GAGGGAAGGAAGGAGGGACAGAGGAAGGAAGGAAGCGAGGAGAGGACGGAAGCGGCACACUCCAGACAACGUUGCUCGGCUCCUUCUUCCCUUGAAGGGCAGCCGCUGCCUCUUGGCGCCUCCCCUUGCCUGGCCGCGGCCUCCUUCUCCUCCUCCUCCUCCUCCGCCCAGGGUCUCCCCUUCUUCUCGGAGGCGUCGAGUCCUGUCAGGAAAGGCGAGGGCUCUUCUUUGUUGAGGGGACUCCGCUUCGAGUCCGGCCGCGGCGCUCAGUCCCCUUUCCUCUCCGCCCUGCCCGCCCGCUUCGGCAUCCCCCGCAUGGUGGCCGGGCCUAGGGCUUGGGGGGCUCCGUGAGGGGCGGGAAAGCGAGCGAGAGAGAGAGAGAGAGAGGGAAGCCAGAGAGAGAGAAGAGCGAGGGAGAGUUGAGGGAGGGAGGGAGGCAGAGCGAGCCCCUCUUGCGGCACCAUGGAGAACGCGCACACCAAGACCGUGGAGGAAGUGCUGGCUUACUUCGGCGUCAACGAGAGCACCGGCCUCAGCUUGGAGCAGGUCAAGAAGCUCAAGGAGCGCUGGGGCGCCAACGAAUUACCAGCUGAAGAAGGAAAAACUUUACUUGAGCUUGUGAUCGAACAGUUUGAAGAUUUAUUAGUUAGAAUUUUGUUGCUGGCGGCAUGCAUAUCUUUUGUAUUGGCCUGGUUUGAAGAAGGCGAAGAAACAAUCACAGCCUUUGUAGAGCCUUUUGUAAUCUUACUCAUAUUAGUAGCCAAUGCAAUUGUGGGUGUGUGGCAGGAGAGAAAUGCUGAAAAUGCCAUUGAAGCUCUUAAAGAAUACGAACCUGAAAUGGGCAAAGUGUACCGGCAAGACAGAAAAAGCGUACAAAGGAUAAAAGCAAGAGACAUUGUCCCUGGUGAUAUCGUGGAAGUAGCUGUUGGUGACAAGGUUCCUGCUGACAUAAGAAUUACUUCUAUAAAAUCCACAACUCUAAGGGUAGACCAGUCAAUUCUCACAGGUGAAUCUGUGUCGGUCAUUAAGCACACGGACCCAGUGCCUGAUCCUCGUGCAGUGAACCAAGACAAGAAGAACAUGCUCUUUUCGGGUACCAACAUUGCUGCUGGCAAAGCCAUGGGUGUGGUGGUGGCUACUGGUGUGAAUACGGAAAUAGGCAAAAUUCGUGAUGAAAUGGUGGCUACUGAGCAAGAGAGGACCCCACUUCAGCAGAAAUUGGAUGAAUUUGGAGAGCAGCUGUCCAAGGUCAUCUCACUUAUAUGCAUUGCUGUGUGGAUCAUCAACAUUGGGCAUUUCAACGAUCCGGUUCAUGGCGGCUCCUGGAUUCGGGGUGCUAUCUACUAUUUCAAAAUUGCCGUUGCCCUUGCUGUAGCUGCAAUCCCAGAGGGACUGCCUGCUGUCAUCACUACAUGUUUGGCUCUGGGCACCCGCCGGAUGGCCAAGAAGAAUGCUAUUGUUCGGAGCCUGCCUUCAGUGGAAACCCUGGGCUGCACUUCGGUCAUUUGUUCAGACAAGACGGGCACUCUCACCACCAACCAGAUGUCAGUUUGCAGGGUGUUCAUUGUGGACCGAAUAGAUGGGGAUAGCUGUUCUCUCAAUGAAUUUACUGUGUCUGGCUCAACAUAUGCUCCUAUAGGAGAAGUGCAUAAGGAUGAAAAGCUUGUCAGAUGCUCUCAGUAUGAUGGGCUGAUAGAAUUGGCAACUAUUUGUGCCCUUUGCAAUGAUUCUUCUUUGGAUUUCAAUGAGGCUAAAGGAGUGUAUGAGAAGGUUGGCGAAGCAACAGAAACGGCCCUCACUUGUCUGGUUGAGAAGAUGAAUGUGUUUGACACCGAACUCAAAGGGCUCUCCAGAAUCGAACGGGCAAACGCUUGCAACUCGGUCAUUAAGCAACUCAUGAGAAAGGAGUUCACCCUUGAAUUUUCCAGGGACCGGAAGUCCAUGUCCGUGUACUGCUCUCCAAACAAGCCCAGCCGGACUGCCAUGGCCAAAAUGUUUGUUAAGGGUGCUCCAGAGGGCGUCAUUGACCGGUGCACACAUGUCCGGGUUGGGAGCAUCAAGGUGCCUUUGACGCCUGGAAUUAAGCAGAAGAUCAUGAGUGUCAUCAGAGAAUGGGGCACCGGGAGGGAUACUCUGCGUUGUCUGGCUCUUGCAACACAUGAUAAUCCACCAAGAAGGGAAGAUAUGAAACUGGAGGAUUCUGCAAAUUUCAUUACCUAUGAGACCAAUUUAACCUUUGUGGGUUGUGUGGGGAUGCUGGAUCCCCCAAGAAUUGAAGUCGCUUCUUCCAUAAAGUUGUGCCGGCAAGCUGGCAUCCGUGUGAUUAUGAUCACUGGGGACAACAAGGGGACUGCCGUGGCUAUCUGCCGUCGCAUUGGCAUCUUUGGGGAAGAGGAGGAUGUCACCACCAAAGCCUUUACGGGCCGUGAGUUUGACGAACUUUCCCCAGCUGCCCAGAGAGAUGCCUGCCUAAAUGCCCGCUGCUUUGCCCGCGUGGAGCCGUCUCAUAAAUCUAAGAUUGUCGAGUUUCUGCAGUCUUUUGACGAGAUUACAGCAAUGACGGGUGAUGGUGUCAAUGAUGCUCCAGCCCUGAAGAAAGCUGAGAUUGGAAUCGCUAUGGGAUCGGGCACCGCGGUGGCAAAGACUGCUUCAGAAAUGGUGCUGGCCGAUGACAACUUCUCGACCAUUGUGGCUGCUGUGGAAGAGGGCCGUGCAAUCUACAAUAACAUGAAACAAUUCAUUCGCUACCUCAUUUCCUCAAAUGUUGGAGAGGUCGUUUGUAUUUUCCUGACUGCUGCUCUGGGUUUCCCUGAAGCAUUAAUCCCUGUCCAGCUCUUGUGGGUAAAUCUUGUGACGGAUGGGCUCCCUGCCACGGCCCUGGGCUUCAACCCUCCAGAUCUGGACAUCAUGAACAAACCACCUCGCAAUCCCAAAGAGCCCCUGAUCUCAGGAUGGCUCUUCUUCCGUUACUUGGCCAUUGGAUGUUACGUUGGAGCUGCUACAGUGGGAGCUGCUGCUUGGUGGUUUAUUGCUGCUGAUGGUGGCCCAAGAAUUACCUACUACCAGCUGAGCCACUUCUUACAGUGCAAAGAUGACAAUCCAGAAUUUGAAGGCGUUGACUGUUUGGUCUUUGAGUCUCCAUAUCCGAUGACGAUGGCACUUUCUGUCUUGGUCACAAUAGAGAUGUGUAAUGCCCUCAACAGCCUGUCAGAAAACCAGUCUUUGUUAAGGAUGCCUCCCUGGGAGAACGUCUGGCUGCUGGGUUCCAUCUGCUUGUCCAUGUCUCUUCACUUUCUCAUCCUUUAUGUGGAGCCACUUCCGCUGAUCUUCCAAAUCACACCUCUGAACCUGACUCAGUGGCUGAUGGUGUUGAAAAUCUCGCUGCCCGUCAUCCUGCUGGACGAGACGCUUAAAUUUGUGGCCCGUAACUACCUAGAGCCUGGUAAAGACAGUGUGCCACCUCCCACCAAACCACGUUCCUUGUCCGCAUGCACCGAAGGGAUUUCCUGGCCAUUUGUGCUCAUUACCCUUCCCUUGCUUAUCUGGCUGUAUAGCACAGACACUAACUUUAGUGACAUGUUCUUGUCUUGACCUGAGGGGAUGGUAGUUUGACAGAGCGAUGUUUAACUUAAUCAGUUUUUUUUAUUGUUUAAAGCAAUUGUCUUAUUCUGCUGAAGUUUCACAUGAACAUAUUUGCCGGUGACUGAGGUUCCCAUAUUCAAAACGUUUGGUUUUUCCUUUUCCUUUUUUUCUUUUUGUUUUGAUCCCUGACUCCAGUGGGGAAGUAGUAUCCCCCUCUCCCCCUGCCUUUUAUACACAUCUAGGGUGUCCAUUGACAUGUACAGAGAAAUUAACACUAUUUUAUGCAAAUAUUUUUUGUAGAGGAGACGCAUGUACAGUGUUCUGUUUAAUAGUCAACUCAUCCUUGUAAAAACAAAUCAGAAAAGUGUUUUUGGGGGGAGUGCCAGUGGACACUGUAUCUUGAGCAAACUGUAACUGGUAGCAGAUUUUAGGGAAUGAAUGUCUGUGUAUGUGUGUUUUUGUUUUUCUUAAACUAAAAGCAUGCAACUAUUUGUCUUCUGCAUGGUCAUCUAAUCUUAAUUUGUCAUUCAUUUGGUUUUUUCUGCACUGGGCAGAUUAUACUGCUACCUCAGUAUCUUUCUUCCCCACCUUCCAUUUUUUGCCUUUUCCUUUCUAUUUUCUUUUUUUUUUUAGAUUCAGAAUAAAUCUUGUUUACACCUGUCUUUGUGAGAGGUAUGCCUAUUCUUGCUGGUGCAGAAAACAUCAUUCCAGGGGCAACCUGCUAGUAUUCCCUCCCCCUCCCCUCCCCUCAACACAUGUAGGUUAUUUUUUAACAUGAAUUAUUUAUUUAAAGAUAUCGUAUGCAUUUUUAUUGUAACAGCAUUGUUUCACCAGCAUUGCCCACUUUGGGGGGGUGGGGGGAGGGCCAAAGAGGGAAAAGACUACCUGGAUGAUUUAAAAGGAAGAAACAAGAAUAAUAAAACGUUUUUUAAUUGAAAAAAAUAUAUACUGCUUUUCAUUUCAUUUAUAUCAUAUAGGAGGCUUUUGAGUUCCAUUUUAGCAAAUAGGAUCUAUGUGCCAGAUCUUUCCAUUCCUUUUUGAUUGGGGACAGUUGUAAUGGGACCUGGAAAAAAAAAAGCGAACAACUCUCACAUAUAAUCCACUGACCACAUCCUACCCUGAAGUGGAGAAGUAACAAAUUGUGUGUGUGCGUGUAUGUACAUGUGUGUUUUUUGUAAGAUCUGUAAAUACCACAUGACCAAAUGAACAUAUUGUAUAGAACUAUUUUUAUUUUUAAUGUGGCACUAACCACCAUCAUUCUAUUGCGAUAAAUGUUAGCGCAUGAUGUUGUGUUUCCCCCUGUUCAAAUUGAGUCCUGUAUCAACCAAUGUGUAAGUUCAUUAACAGUCCUAACUGUGUGGUGUUUCUCUCCAAUGCCUUCCAACAUUCAUCGACUGAACCAAACUGGAGUAAUCAUUUAGCCCUAAACACAUUUUUGCAGACUUGUAAGGUUAAUUUUCUUGCAUGCGUCUUUAGCAACGCAUCUCCUGAAAACAUCUGCAUGAAUCUUGUAAAUGGAAAAAACAAAAACAAAAAACAAUAUCUUUCCUUAGGGAGGGAGAAAAAAAAUAGAACUGAAAAACUUGUGUUUCAAGAAGGAAGUGUGUGGUGCUCUUUAAAGCUUCAGUUUUAUGCAGAUCUACCAAUGUGCAAUAUAGUUUUUAAACUGAAAACAGACCUUUGCAAAAGACGUUUUGGGGUUGCAUGAAGUCAAGACUCCCUAAACUGCUAAACAAGAAUUAAAGAGUGAUGAUUGGCCAAGUUUGACCUUUUUUUUCUUUCCAUAUCGCGUUGUGUAAAACGUCAUAGUUUAUAAAAUGUACAGUAUCAAACUGUAAUGCAUGCCUUUCAAUUGUAAGUAGCUGAUGAUCUUUAUUGUAUCUUAGCAUAACACUUUACAAAGCUCUGUACAAUAUGCAAAUCUAUUUAUACAGACUCGUUGACAAAUGGUACUGUUGCUGAAUGUUUAAGAAACUGUUAAAAACGUCGAUUCCAUAACUUCAGCUUUUUGAACAAAAAAAAGAUCUUGGAGUGUGCAAAUAGACUUCUUUUGCACUGUAAUAAUGUAACUUAUUUAAAAGUAAAGCCGUAGACACACAUUGGUGCAAUACACAUGUGAUGCGUUUUAUCAUAACGAAGAAAACAAAAAUCCCUAAUAAUGAACCUAGUCAGUUCAUAAAGACAGCAUGUGUGACUUUUUUUAGAAACUGUAAAUAACAUUGUCUGAUUCAAUGCUGAUGGUGACUAGCAUCACACCUACUACCAUCCUAGUUUUGGGUAAAAUAAACUUAUUAUACAAUA